GCGUAACACGUAGGAAUCUGCCCGGUAGUGGGGGAUAGCCCGGAGAAAUCCGGAUUAAUACCGCAUACGCCUUANNNGGGAAAGAAGGGGCCUCUUCGGAGCCUUUCGCUAUCGGAUGAGCCUGCGUCGGAUUAGCUAGUUGGUGGGGUAAAGGCCUACCAAGGCGACGAUCCGUAGCUGGUCUGAGAGGAUGAUCAGCCACACUGGGACUG
rnacentral:rRNA from 1 species